rnacentral:rRNA from 1 species
GACGAACGCUGGCGGCGUGCCUAAUACAUGCAAGUAGAACGCUGAAGAGAGGAGCUUGCUCUUCUUGGAUGAGUUGCGAACGGGUGAGUAACGCGUAGGUAACCUGCCUUGUAGCGGGGGAUAACUAUUGGAAACGAUAGCUAAUACCGCAUAACAAUGGAUGACACAUGUCAUUUAUUUGAAAGGGGCAAUUGCUCCACUACAAGAUGGACCUGCGUUGUAUUAGCUAGUAGGUGAGGUAACGGCUCACCUAGGCGACGAUACAUAGCCGACCUGAGAGGGUGAUCGGCCACACUGGGACUGAGACACGGCCCAGACUCCUACGGGAGGCAGCAGUAGGGAAUCUUCGGCAAUGGGGGCAACCCUGACCGAGCAACGCCGCGUGAGUGAAGAAGGUUUUCGGAUCGUAAAGCUCUGUUGUAAGUCAAGAACGAGUGUGAGAGUGGAAAAUUCACACUGUGACGGUAGCUUACCAGAAAGGGACGGCUAACUACGUGCCAGCAGCCGCGGUAAUACGUAGGUCCCGAGCGUUGUCCGGAUUUAUUGGGCGUAAAGCGAGCGCAGGCGGUUUGAUAAGUCUGAAGUUAAAGGCUGUGGCUCAACCAUAGUUCGCUUUGGAAACUGUCAAACUUGAGUGCAGAAGGGGAGAGUGGAAUUCCAUGUGUAGCGGUGAAAUGCGUAGAUAUAUGGAGGAACACCGGUGGCGAAAGCGGCUCUCUGGUCUGUAACUGACGCUGAGGCUCGAAAGCGUGGGGAGCGAACAGGAUUAGAUACCCUGGUAGUCCACGCCGUAAACGAUGAGUGCUAGGUGUUGGAUCCUUUCCGGGAUUCAGUGCCGCAGCUAACGCAUUAAGCACUCCGCCUGGGGAGUACGACCGCAAGGUUGAAACUCAAAGGAAUUGACGGGGGCCCGCACAAGCGGUGGAGCAUGUGGUUUAAUUCGAAGCAACGCGAAGAACCUUACCAGGUCUUGACAUCCCGAUGCUAUUUCUAGAGAUAGAAAGUUACUUCGGUACAUCGGUGACAGGUGGUGCAUGGUUGUCGUCAGCUCGUGUCGUGAGAUGUUGGGUUAAGUCCCGCAACGAGCGCAACCCCUAUUGUUAGUUGCCAUCAUUCAGUUGGGCACUCUAGCGAGACUGCCGGUAAUAAACCGGAGGAAGGUGGGGAUGACGUCAAAUCAUCAUGCCCCUUAUGACCUGGGCUACACACGUGCUACAAUGGUUGGUACAACGAGUUGCGAGUCGGUGACGGCAAGCUAAUCUCUUAAAGCCAAUCUCAGUUCGGAUUGUAGGCUGCAACUCGCCUACAUGAAGUCGGAAUCGCUAGUAAUCGCGGAUCAGCACGCCGCGGUGAAUGCGUUCCCGGGCCU